AGCAGCCGCGGUAAUACGGAGGAUCCAAGCGUUAUCCGGAUUUAUUGGGUUUAAAGGGUGCGUAGGCGGCUUAUUAAGUCAGGGGUGAAAGACGGUGGCUCAACCAUCGCAGUGCCUUUGAUACUGAUGAGCUUGAAUGAACUAGAGGUAGGCGGAAUGUGACAAGUAGCGGUGAAAUGCAUAGAUAUGUCACAGAACACCGAUUGCGAAGGCAGCUUACUAUGGUUUUAUUGACGCUGAGGCACGUAAGCGUGGGGAUCAAACAGGAUUAGAUACCCUGGUAGUCCACGCCCUAAACGAUGAAUACUCGCUGUUAGCGAUAUACAGUUAGCGGCUAAGCGAAAGCGUUAAGUAUUCCACCUGGGGAGUACGCCCGCAAGGGUGAAACUCAAAGGAAUUGACGGGGGCCCGCACAAGCGGAGGAGCAUGUGGUUUAAUUCGAUGAUACGCGAGGAACCUUACCCGGGCUUGAAAGUUAGUGACGGUACUAGAGAUAGUACCUUGAGCAAUCACACGAAACUAGGUGCUGCAUGGCUGUCGUCAGCUCGUGCCGUGAGGUGUUGGGUUAAGUCCCGCAACGAGCGCAACCCCUAUGUUUAGUUGCCAGCAUGUUAUGGUGGGGACUCUAAACAGACUGCCUGUGCAAACAGAGAGGAAGGAGGGGACGACGUCAAGUCAUCAUGGCCCUUACGUCCGGGGCUACACACGUGCUACAAUGGAUGGUACAGAGGGCAGCAAGCUGGCAACAGCAAGCAAAUCUCAAAAAGCCAUUCACAGUUCGGAUAGAGGUCUGCAACUCGACCUCUUGAAGUUGGAUUCGCUAGUAAUCGCGUAUCAGCAAUGACGCGGUGAAUACGUUCCCGGGCCUUGUACACACCGCCCGUCAAGCCAUGGAAGUUGGGGGUACCUAAAGUAUGUAACCGCAAGGA
rnacentral:rRNA from 1 species